rnacentral:rRNA from 1 species
UACGAAGGGGGCGAGCGUUGUUCGGAUUUACUGGGCGUAAAGGGCGCGCAGGCGGCUCAUUUUGUCAGGCGUGAAAGCCCCGGGCUUAACUUGGGAACUGCGUUUGAUACGGAUGGGCUAGAGUUCGGGAGAGGAGAGUGGAAUUCCCAGUGUAGAGGUGAAAUUCGUAGAUAUUGGGAAGAACACCGGUGGCGAAGGCGGCUCUCUGGACCGAUACUGACGCUGAGGCGCGAAAGCGUGGGGAGCAAACAGG